rnacentral:lncRNA from 1 species
ACGAAAGCUUCUAUCUUUGUAUUAGUUGUAUCUCAUUGUAGUCACCAUCAAUCACCUCUCAUUAUUUAUUAAAGCAUCAAUUCUCCUAAUCAAUCGUCAAAUACUGUAUUUUAAACAGUAAAUGUACGUCAUUUUAUUUAUUCAUUUGUAUGAGAUUAAAUAAUUCAUUCAGGUUAAGUUUUACUUUGUUAUUUGAGGACCU